GAUGAACGCUGGCGGCGUGCCUAAUACAUGCAAGUCGAGCGAACAGAUAAGGAGCUUGCUCCUUUGACGUUAGCGGCGGACGGGUGAGUAACACGUGGAUAACCUACCUAUAAGACUGGGAUAACUUCGGGAAACCGGAGCUAAUACCGGUUAACAUAUUGAACCGCAUGGUUCAAUAGUGAAAGGCGGCUUUGCUGUCACUUAUAGAUGGAUCCGCGCCGUAUUAGCUAGUUGGUAAGGUAACGGCUUACCAAGGCAACGAUACGUAGCCGACCUGAGAGGGUGAUCGGCCACACUGGAACUGAGACACGGCCCAGACUCCUACGGGAGGCAGCAGUAGGGAAUCUUCCGCAAUGGGCGAAAGCCUGACGGAGCAACGCCGCGUGAGUGAUGAAGGUCUUCGGAUCGUAAAACUCUGUUAUCAGGGAAGAACAAAUGUGUAAGUAACUGUGCACAUCUUGACGGUACCUGAUCAGAAAGCCACGGCUAACUACGUGCCAGCAGCCGCGGUAAUACGUAGGUGGCAAGCGUUAUCCGGAAUUAUUGGGCGUAAAGCGCGCGUAGGCGGUUUUUUAGUCUGAUGUGAAAGCCCACGGCUCAACCGUGGAGGGUCAUUGGAAACUGGAAAACUUGAGUGCAGAAGAGGAAAGUGGAAUUCCAUGUGUAGCGGUGAAAUGCGCAGAGAUAUGGAGGAACACCAGUGGCGAAGGCGACUUUCUGGUCUGUAACUGACGCUGAUGUGCGAAAGCGUGGGGAUCAAACAGGAUUAGAUACCCUGGUAGUCCACGCCGUAAACGAUGAGUGCUAAGUGUUAGGGGGUUUCCGCCUCUUAGUGUUGCAGCUAACGCAUUAAGCACUCCGCCUGGGGAGUACGACCGCAAGGUUGAAACUCAAAGGAAUUGACGGGGACCCGCACAAGCGGUGGAGCAUGUGGUUUAAUUCGAAGCAACGCGAAGAACCUUACCAAAUCUUGACAUCCUUUGACCGCUCUAGAGAUAGAGUUUUCCCCUUCGGGGGACAAAGUGACAGGUGGUGCAUGGUUGUCGUCAGCUCGUGUCGUGAGAUGUUGGGUUAAGUCCCGCAACGAGCGCAACCCUUAAGCUUAGUUGCCAUCAUUAAGUUGGGCACUCUAAGUUGACUGCCGGUGACAAACCGGAGGAAGGUGGGGAUGACGUCAAAUCAUCAUGCCCCUUAUGAUUUGGGCUACACACGUGCUACAAUGGACAAUACAAAGGGCAGCUAAACCGCGAGGUCAAGCAAAUCCCAUAAAGUUGUUCUCAGUUCGGAUUGUAGUCUGCAACUCGACUACAUGAAGCUGGAAUCGCUAGUAAUCGUAGAUCAGCAUGCUACGGUGAAUACGUUCCCGGGUCU
rnacentral:rRNA from 1 species